rnacentral:rRNA from 1 species
GAUGAACGCUGGCGGCGUGCCUAAUACAUGCAAGUCGAGCGAACGGACGAGAAGCUUGCUUUUCUGAUGUUAGCGGCGGACGGGUGAGUAACACGUGGAUAACCUACCUAUAAGACUGGGAUGACUUCGGGAAACCGGAGCUAAUACCGGAUAAUAUUUUGAACCGCAUGGUUCAAAAGUGAAAGACGGUCUUGCUGUCACUUUUAGAUGGAUCCGCGCUGCAUUAGCUAGUUGGUAAGGUAACGGCUUACCAAGGCAACGAUGCAUAGCCGACCUGAGAGGGUGAUCGGCCACACUGGAACUGAGACACGGUCCAGACUCCUACGGGAGGCAGCAGUAGGGAAUCUUCCGCAAUGGGCGAAAGCCUGACGGAGCAACGCCGCGUGAGUGAUGAAGGUCUUCGGAUCGUAAAACUCUGUUAUUAGGGAAGAACAUAUGUGUAAGUAACUGUGCACAUCUUGACGGUACCUAAUCAGAAAGCCACGGCUAACUACGUG